AUGUGGGACAGAAACCUGUGAUCCCCAGAGUG
rnacentral:piRNA from 1 species